GGGUUGUGAGGUUAAGCGACUAAGCGUACACGGUGGAUGCCCUGGCAGUCAGAGGCGAUGAAGGGCGUGCUAAUCUGCGAUAAGCGCCGGUAAGGUGAUAUGAACCGUUAUAACCGGCGAUACCCGAAUGGGGAAACCCAGUGUGAUUCGUCACACUAUCAUUAACUGAAUCCAUAGGUUAAUGAGGCGAACCGGGGGAACUGAAACAUCUAAGUACCCCGAGGAAAAGAAAUCAACCGAGAUUCCCCCAGUAGCGGCGAGCGAACGGGGAGGAGCCCAGAGCCUGAAUCAGCAUGUGUGUUAGUGGAAGCGUCUGGAAAGGCGCGCGAUACAGGGUGACAGCCCCGUACACAAAAGCGCAUGUGCUGUGAGCUCGAUGAGUAGGGCGGGACACGUGGUAUCCUGUCUGAAUAUGGGGGGACCAUCCUCCAAGGCUAAAUACUCCUGACUGACCGAUAGUGAACCAGUACCGUGAGGGAAAGGCGAAAAGAACCCCGGCGAGGGGAGUGAAAAAGAACCUGAAACCGUGUACGUACAAGCAGUGGGAGCACCCUUUGGGUGUGACUGCGUACCUUUUGUAUAAUGGGUCAGCGACUUAUAUUCUGUAGCAAGGUUAACCGAAUAGGGGAGCCGGAGGGAAACCGAGUCUUAAUUGGGCGUUAAGUUGCAGGGUAUAGACCCGAAACCCGGUGAUCUAGCCAUGGGCAGGUUGAAGGUUGGGUAACACUAACUGGAGGACCGAACCGACUAAUGUUGAAAAAUUAGCGGAUGACCUGUGGCUGGGGGUGAAAGGCCAAUCAAACCGGGAGAUAGCUGGUUCUCCCCGAAAGCUAUUUAGGUAGCGCCUCGUGAAUUCAUCUCCGGGGGUAGAGCACUGUUUCGGCUAGGGGGCCAUCCCGGCUUACCAACCCGAUGCAAACUGCGAAUACCGGAGAAUGUUAUCACGGGAGACACACGGCGGGUGCUAACGUCCGUCGUGAAGAGGGAAACAACCCAGACCGCCAGCUAAGGUCCCAAAGUCAUGGUUAAGUGGGAAACGAUGUGGGAAGGCCCAGACAGCCAGGAUGUUGGCUUAGAAGCAGCCAUCAUUUAAAGAAAGCGUAAUAGCUCACUGGUCGAGUCGGCCUGCGCGGAAGAUGUAACGGGGCUAAACCAUGCACCGAAGCUGCGGCAGCGACGCUUAUGCGUUGUUGGGUAGGGGNNNNNNCUGUAAGCCUGCGAAGGUGGCCUGUGAGGGUUGCUGGAGGUAUCAGAAGUGCGAAUGCUGACAUAAGUAACGAUAAAGCGGGUGAAAAGCCCGCUCGCCGGAAGACCAAGGGUUCCUGUCCAACGUUAAUCGGGGCAGGGUGAGUCGACCCCUAAGGCGAGGCCGAAAGGCGUAGUCGAUGGGAAACGGGUUAAUAUUCCCGUACUUGGUGUUACUGCGAAGGGGGGACGGAGAAGGCUAUGUUGGCCGGGCGACGGUUGUCCCGGUUUAAGCGUGUAGGUGUGUGUUCCAGGUAAAUCCGGUUCACUUUAACACUGAGGCGUGACGACGAGGCACUACGGUGCUGAAGCAACAAAUGCCCUGCUUCCAGGAAAAGCCUCUAAGCAUCAGGUAACAUCAAAUCGUACCCCAAACCGACACAGGUGGUCAGGUAGAGAAUACCAAGGCGCUUGAGAGAACUCGGGUGAAGGAACUAGGCAAAAUGGUGCCGUAACUUCGGGAGAAGGCACGCUGACACGUAGGUGAAGUGAUUUACUCAUGGAGCUGAAGUCAGUCGAAGAUACCAGCUGGCUGCAACUGUUUAUUAAAAACACAGCACUGUGCAAACACGAAAGUGGACGUAUACGGUGUGACGCCUGCCCGGUGCCGGAAGGUUAAUUGAUGGGGUCAGCGCAAGCGAAGCUCCUGAUCGAAGCCCCGGUAAACGGCGGCCGUAACUAUAACGGUCCUAAGGUAGCGAAAUUCCUUGUCGGGUAAGUUCCGACCUGCACGAAUGGCGUAAUGAUGGCCAGGCUGUCUCCACCCGAGACUCAGUGAAAUUGAACUCGCUGUGAAGAUGCAGUGUACCCGCGGCAAGACGGAAAGACCCCGUGAACCUUUACUAUAGCUUGACACUGAACAUUGAGCCUUGAUGUGUAGGAUAGGUGGGAGGCUUUGAAGUGUGGACGCCAGUCUGCAUGGAGCCGACCUUGAAAUACCACCCUUUAAUGUUUGAUGUUCUAACGUGGACCCGUUACCCGGGUUGCGGACAGUGUCUGGUGGGUAGUUUGACUGGGGCGGUCUCCUCCUAAAGAGUAACGGAGGAGCACGAAGGUUGGCUAAUCCUGGUCGGACAUCAGGAGGUUAGUGCAAUGGCAUAAGCCAGCUUGACUGCGAGCGUGACGGCGCGAGCAGGUGCGAAAGCAGGUCAUAGUGAUCCGGUGGUUCUGAAUGGAAGGGCCAUCGCUCAACGGAUAAAAGGUACUCCGGGGAUAACAGGCUGAUACCGCCCAAGAGUUCAUAUCGACGGCGGUGUUUGGCACCUCGAUGUCGGCUCAUCACAUCCUGGGGCUGAAGUAGGUCCCAAGGGUAUGGCUGUUCGCCAUUUAAAGUGGUACGCGAGCUGGGUUUAGAACGUCGUGAGACAGUUCGGUCCCUAUCUGCCGUGGGCGCUGGAGAACUGAGGGGGGCUGCUCCUAGUACGAGAGGACCGGAGUGGACGCAUCACUGGUGUUCGGGUUGUCAUGCCAAUGGCACUGCCCGGUAGCUAAAUGCGGAAGAGAUAAGUGCUGAAAGCAUCUAAGCACGAAACUUGCCCCGAGAUGAGUUCUCCCUGAGACUUAAAGUCUCCUGAAGGAACGUUGAAGACGACGACGUUGAUAGGCCGGGUGUGUAAGCGCAGCGAUGCGUUGAGCUAACCGGUACUAAUGAACCGUGAGGCUUAACCUUACAACGCCGAAG
rnacentral:rRNA from 1 species